UACGGAGGGUGCGAGCGUUGUCCGGAAUCAUUGGGCGUAAAGGGUGCGUAGGCGGGUAGGUAAGUCAGUGGUGAAAUCUUCGAGCUUAACUCGGAAACUGCCUUUGAUACUAUCUAUCUUGAAUAUUGUGGAGGUAAGCGGAAUAUGUCAUGAAGCGGUGAAAUGCUUAGAUAUGACAUAGAACACCUAUUGCGAAGGCAGCUUACUACGCAUAUAUUGACGCUGAGGCACGAAAGCGUGGGGAUCAAACAGG
rnacentral:rRNA from 1 species